CAGGAUCUCUCUCUAAAUUGCCCAGGCUGGCCUUGAACUGCUUCAGCCUCCAGAGUGUGAGGAUGGCAGGCGAGUGCCACAGUGGCUGGCAUCUGAAGCCCAGGUUGAUUCUUAAGUUCAGCCCUGCAUCAGUCGUUAAGGAAAUCAAGUGAAGUCUCUGGGCUGGUCGGAGCGGAGGUUGGAGCUACGGGGGGCCACCAUGUAGGUGGUGUCACCAUGUAGGGAUGGAACUUGCCUGGGAGUCAAGACAACCGGAGGGAAGCUGAGCCUGAGGAUGAGGCAGUCGGAUUCCUGGUGAUGACAGGGACAGCUGGAUCCAGCAGUGCCUGAAGCCCUCAUCUGCCAAUACUUGGUUCCAGAAAUGAUGUCAGCGCUGCGGCGGUGCAGCGCCGGUACUGUAGUGGCCCUGGCUGGGGGUCCACCUUCCGCGCUGUGCACAGGCCCUGCCCCGCACGGCUGACCUCUCUUCUCAGUGUGUCCUCUCCACGGGGAUCACCAGCAGAGGAAAUCAGUUUACUGCCUCUGCUUUGCUGAUGAGAAGCGGGCUCCAGGCAAGGUGCAGACCGAGGAGGAUGGAGACCGGGUCCCCUCUGCCUCUUCCCCCAGCCUCCUCCGCCAUCAGCCCUCAGAGCUGCGCAGGUGGGGGCGCUCCAAGGCCGGUCCUAGGGAAGAGGGGGCCGAGAUCCUGGACUUCUAGGACAGAGACAGGGAGCAGGGUCUCGGUGCCAAGGUCUCUGCAUCGCCUUGUGGACGCGCACUGGGUCUCUGACGCCUCCGUCCCGGGAAGCCUCGCUCCACGCUCGCUGCAGCCUCGCGAUUUUGGCUUUCUGGCUGCGGGUUCGCAGGGGAGGGAGGGGGUGCAGGGGGCGGAG